AGUAAAUUUUACUCAUUUUAUUAUAAAAGUGGCUUUACCCAUAUAUGAGUAAACGAAUUUACCCAUAUUUGGUUGAAAAUAUUUGAGCGUCCUUGUUUUCCUGAAAAUGAUCUUUUGCUGUUCGGCAGGCAGUACAAGUGCAAAAUCAACAAAUAAAUUUCUGUGGAUUCAUUAGCUAAUAAACGGUGUCGAAACAAGUUAAGGGGCCACGGACCAAAGGAAAUAAUCUCCCAGGAGGAAACAAAGGAUCAACCGGUGAACAAAUUACCGCACAUGUGGCGUACAACUUAAUAAGGAUCUCUCCAAUUGAUACCGUAGCCAGUUUACUCCUGAGUAAAGGGGAGAAUUGGCAAUGCCACCAUCAAGCAGCCCAUCUAUAGCCCUGGGAUUCCAGCUCACGGAACCGCGAAACCGUAAAAUGAAAGGUCAGCCUAUCCAUCGAAUCAGCCGUUGCAGGCCCGUGCCCACCAGCUUCUGUUGUGGACUAUAACGACCUCCGUGAAUAGAUGCUACCCAUGUUCCAGCAGCAAACGUUAACACCCGGAAGCAUGUCAACUGCGGCGUAAUCCUCGGCACCUGCUGUUAGAUGCUGGACCUUAUUUUAGUGUAAAUACCAAGUAUUAUUGUACUAUUAUAAAAUGCCUCGUUAUACUGUUAUAUUUAUACUGUUUUAAAUUUCAUUUAUUUGUUAUAAUAAAAUGAUGU